GAUGAACGCUGGCGGCGUGCCUAACACAUGCAAGUCGAGCGAUCUUCUUCGGAAGAGAGCGGCGGACGGGUGAGUAACGCGUGGGUAACCUGCCCUGUACACACGGAUAACAUACCGAAAGGUAUGCUAAUACGAGAUAAUAUGCUUUUAUCGCAUGGUAGAAGUAUCAAAGCUCCGGCGGUACAGGAUGGACCCGCGUCUGAUUAGCUAGUUGGUAAGGUAACGGCUUACCAAGGCGACGAUCAGUAGCCGACCUGAGAGGGUGAUCGGCCACAUUGGAACUGAGACACGGUCCAAACUCCUACGGAGGCAGCAGUGGGGAAUAUUGCACAAUGGGCGAAAGCCUGAUGCAGCAACGCCGCGUGAGCGAUGAAGGCCUUCGGUCGUAAAGCUCUGUCCUCAAGGAAGAUAAUGACGGU
rnacentral:rRNA from 1 species